GCUCUCAGCCAGGUGUGAGCAUGAGGCUUUGAAUCUCGGGGUCAUGGGUUCAAGCCCCACCUUGUGCC